rnacentral:piRNA from 1 species
UGGGUUCCUGUAUCUUUGCAAU